rnacentral:rRNA from 1 species
GAUGAACGCUAGCUACAGGCUUAACACAUGCAAGUCGAGGGGCAGCAUGGUCUUAGCUUGCUAAGGCCGAUGGCGACCGGCGCACGGGUGAGUAACACGUAUCCAACCUGCCGUCUACUCUUGGACAGCCUUCUGAAAGGAAGAUUAAUACAAGAUGGCAUCAUGAGUUCACAUGUUCACAUGAUUAAAGGUAUUCCGGUAGACGAUGGGGAUGCGUUCCAUUAGAUAGUAGGCGGGGUAACGGACCACCUAGUCGUCGAUGGCUAGGGGUUCUGAGGGGGACGGCCCUCACAUUGGAACUGGGACACGGGCCAAAGUGCUACGGGAGGCAGCACUGAGGAAUAUUGGUCAGUGGAAGAGUGCCUGAUCCAGCCAAGUAGCGUGAAGGAUGGCUGCGCUAGGGGUGAUAAACUUCUGUUAUAAAGGAAUUAAGUCGGGUAUGUAUACCCGUUUGCAGGUACUUUAUGAAUAAGAAUCGGCUAACUCCGUG